rnacentral:rRNA from 1 species
CCAAUAGCGUAUAUUAAAGUUGUUGCAGUUAAAAAGCUCGUAGUUGAAUUUCGAGACCGGUCUACUGGUCGUGCUUUUGUACGUACUGGUUUUAUUGGUUUCUCCUUUCUGACGAACUAUAAUGCCAUUAAUUUGGUGUUAUGGGGAAUCAGGACUGUUACUUUGAAAAAAUUAGAGUGUUUAAAGCAGGCUCACGCUUGAAUACAUUAGCAUGGAAUAA